UUUAUCAUCAUCUAAAGUCUUAUUUGGGCAGUUAGCUAUAACUAUUGUUUUAUUUGGCUUGUAUAUUUUCAUGUUUACAGGACUUCCCAACCCAUUGAACAUGAAACUUCACUGCAAUCAAUGGUAUUCCAACUAGCGGCCCAUCCACCCUUCCCAGCAUCUGAUAAGGGUUGGGGUAAAGAAUUAGG